CAUGUUGUUUUUUUCGUUCCUAAGCGUUUCCUCCCCACGGCUUCAUAAAUAGCCACCUCCUCUGAGCUCACAGAUGUAGGUACAGCUGCUGGAGCCCUGCUGUGACCUCUCCUUUGCAUCCAGUGCAUCACAUCAAGUCAUGGUGCCAUGAGCACCGGCUGUUGGUGCCGCGGGUUAGGAAUGUGACACUUUGGGAGCAGAACAAACAGCAGAAUAAUGGAUCCUUGCUUUUUACCCUGUGACUGCUCCUCCUCCUUCUGGGGGGGGGGGGACUUGACAGCAGGCCUGGCCACGUGACUUGCCUUGGCCAAUGGAAUGCAGCGUGGGAGCCUGGAGCGGAGGCUUUUAGAUGUGCCUGAGCAUCAGUUAUGAGGAGAACGGCCUCUGGUCCCAAAAAGAGACACAGACAGAGCUGAACUAAGCCAGACCCUACCCUUCAAGUGAGAAAAACAAACGACUUGAGUCCAUAAGAGUUCAUGCAGCUUUUGCUAACUCAGGAUGGUUGUAAGAAUGAAAGCGAAGAGACAAAUUAGUGUUCUAGGUAAGAGAUAAUGGGGGCUUGGAUUAACCUAAUGGCAGUGUGGAGAUGAAAGAAUAGAUUCCAGAGACAUUUAGAGAUAUUUAGGCUUUAGAAUUGGGAAUAUGGAUGACUGAUUGAUUGGACAAGUAAUGGAAAAAGAAACACCAAGGAUGGUGUUUCAACCAGAGAUUCUUGCAAUACUGUUCAACUUUAUGAUCCGAAAGACAGUGGAAUACGCCCAGAGCUUUCAAGUGAUGUAUGUUGUUUUAUUUGUGACUACAGAGAUCAUUAUUUAGGUGAGAAAGUUAAAUAGUCGAGGUCCCUUCUCCUGGGAGUUCACUGGGGGGAUCCAGGCUGCUGGGCGCUUACUGUUCCUCCCUGAGGAAGCAGUUCCAGCCCAGGCUUCAGAGGACCUGUUGCCACUGGGCUAAAAGCCCUGCCUUUUGAUGUGACUGAUAUCUAGUGUCCUGUUAAGGCUUUGGGGUUGUUUCAGGCAUGCCAGCUUCUGCCAUUAAGAAGCACUAAACCUAUCACUUUUACAAGGCAGCAAAAAAAAAAAA